GAAGCCAAAAUGGUUAUUCACUCAAAAAGGCUGACCAUGCGAACCGAAUACUCUCGCCGGAGAAUGCGAGCCGAAACAACAUCGUCGGUAAGCACGAAUCGAAAUCAUCGCCGGAAAAUGUCUUUGAUCCCAAAACCGAAACUCCAUGAGCGAUCUGGAAUAAUCAUGGUCGAAACCGGAAUCGGAGCUCACUCAGAAUCCGCGUCCAUUACCGUCUUCAUUACUCGCGUCCAAAUGCUUCAGCCGAAAUCAAGGUCGAUUCUGCAUCCAAGCUCGCUCAACAUUCGUCUUCAACGAAUCAACGAACCUACAUCAUCGUGGAAUCGCGUCGGCACCAUAUUCGAAUUGACUUGUCUUAAUGCGAAUCUGGUGAUUCGCCAAGGGCUCUAUAAUGGCUGAUCGUGAUCGCUCAGAGCAACAUGAAGAAGCAAGCGCGAACAUAUUGUUUGUCACGGUGGCUCUUUUACUUCAUCUCCGAUGAUGACUCCACCGGUAAGAUUUAUUUCUUGGCUUUCUUUUUGCAAUGUUCUGUUUCUCUUUCUUCAAAGUUCUUCUCCUUCUGAUUUCUUGGCGUGUGUUGUUGUGUGUGAGGUUGUUGUGCGAUUGAUUUGCGCCUCAGAAGGUGAAUGUGGGAUGUGAGGUGAAACAGAAGAUGAAGAUGAAGCAGUAAGAUGAUGAAGGUGAGCGAAGAAGAUGAAGAUGAGUGAAGAGUGAAGAAUUAAGAAUGAAGAAGAACCCCAAAAUGAAGAUGGAAUCAAGAGUCAUGGUGGUCUAAGGAUAAAUUGGAAAUAAGUACUGAGGUCUGAAUAGGAUGGCAAUGUCGGAAAAUUUGAUGAUUCUGCCACUGCAGGGACUUGCUCCAGGGUAAUUAUGCAGGAUGCACCUUAAGGGAAAGCUAGUUUGCCAAUUAACUAACUUAUCUUGUUAACUGUUGAUGCAACAUGAUGGAUGUAUGUUACGGUUUGGCGAAUCGAUUUAGGUUGGGCUAACACCAAGUCACAAACUUGAAGGAAAUUAGCAACAAAAGCCUCAUGUUGGACAACAUGCUUGUUAGGCUGUCAUGACAACAAUCUCAGAUGCUUCCACACGACCGAAGCUUUGCAGCAUGUUUAAGGCCUUACCCGAAUUAGACAAGGAUGCGGCAAGGGAUCACCAAGACGAUAAGUCAUGUGAUUAAGUCUGGGUACAAUUAGUAUAAUACAUAACGUGAUGCUUGUAAUUAAACCCUCAUUUGGGUCAAUCAAAUGUAAUACAUCAGAAUGUGAUUAAUUUUAACAUGGUGGAUCCAAACAUAAUUCAUGUGCAAUUGUUGUGUCA